rnacentral:rRNA from 1 species
GAUGAACGCUGGCGGCGUGCUUAACACAUGCAAGUCGAACGAUGAAGCCCAGCUUGCUGGGUGGAUUAGUGGCGAACGGGUGAGUAACACGUGAGUAACCUGCCCUUAACUCUGGGAUAAGCCUGGGAAACUGGGUCUAAUACCGGAUAGGAGCGUCCACCGCAUGGUGGGUGUUGGAAAGAUUUAUCGGUUUUGGAUGGACUCGCGGCCUAUCAGCUUGUUGGUGAGGUAAUGGCUCACCAAGGCGACGACGGGUAGCCGGCCUGAGAGGGUGACCGGCCACACUGGGACUGAGACACGGCCCAGACUCCUACGGGAGGCAGCAGUGGGGAAUAUUGCACAAUGGGCGCAAGCCUGAUGCAGCGACGCCGCGUGAGGGAUGACGGCCUUCGGGUUGUAAACCUCUUUCAGUAGGGAAGAAGCGAAAGUGACGGGACCUGCAGAAGAAGCACCGGCUAACUACGU